rnacentral:tRNA from 1 species
GCGGAUAUAGAUUAUUGGUAGAUUAUCUGCCUUCCAAGCAGAAGAGGUGGGUUCGAUUCCCACUAUCCGCA